rnacentral:rRNA from 1 species
UACAGAGGGUGCGAGCGUUGUUCGGAAUUAUUGGGCGUAAAGGGCGCGUAGGCGGUGCCACAAGUCACCUGUGAAAUCUCUGGGCUUAACUCAGAGCCUGCAGGCGAAACUGUGGUGCUGGAGUAUGGGAGAGGUGCGUGGAAUUCCCGGUGUAGCGGUGAAAUGCGUAGAUAUCGGGAGGAACGCCGGUGGCGAAAGCGGUCCGCUGGGUCCCUACUGACGCUGAGGCGCGAAAGCCAGGGGAGCAAACGGG